UUUAUGGAGAGUUUGAUCCUGGCUCAGAGUGAACGCUGGCGGCGUGCCUAAUACAUGCAAGUCGAACGAUGAAGCUUCUAGCUUGCUAGAAUGCUGAUUAGUGGCGCACGGGUGAGUAACGCAUAGGUUAUGUGCCUCUUAGUUUGGGAUAGCCAUUGGAAACGAUGAUUAAUACCAGAUACUCCCUACGGGGGAAAGAUUUAUCGCUAAGAGAUCAGCCUAUGUCCUAUCAGCUUGUUGGUAAGGUAAUGGCUUACCAAGGCUAUGACGGGUAUCCGGCCUGAGAGGGUGAACGGACACACUGGAACUGAGACACGGUCCAGACUCCUACGGGAGGCAGCAGUAGGGAAUAUUGCUCAAUGGGGGAAACCCUGAAGCAGCAACGCCGCGUGGAGGAUGAAGGUUUUAGGAUUGUAAACUCCUUUUGUUAGAGAAGAUAAUGACGGUAUCUAACGAAUAAGCACCGGCUAACUCCGUGCCAGCAG
rnacentral:rRNA from 1 species